CCUUAGUAAGAUUCAAAUCCAAAUGUAGUAUUGACCUUCUAUCAGAGAAAAAAGAACACGCGGGCGAGGUUGAAGGCUUACGGCUUGUGAUCUUCUUUUCAGGAGAAGACGAAAUGAUGAUAUCUAGGAAAUAAGCAUCAACUAACUUUGUGAUAGCAGGUAAUACAGAAGAUGCAAGUGUUAUCCAGAAUGAUUGGGCAUACAACUUCUGUAGGUGUAUUUUUAAGUCCGCCAUCAAACCCCAUGGCUUAACCUUGGAUAGGAGGUGGAAACUACCAAGCUGGAGUCUGGUAGGGGCAAAGGAAUUCAUGGUUGAGAGGUGAAAUGCGUAGAGAUCGGAAAGAACACCAACUGCGGAAGCAGAGCUACUCCCAAGAAGUUGUUGUUGGUCGAGAUUGUGGAACUGUCGCUCGAGAAGUAAGAAUUCGACCCUU
rnacentral:ncRNA from 1 species